GACGAACGCUGGCGGCGUGCCUAAUACAUGCAAGUCGAACGCAGUGGGGACGGGUGAGUACCACGUUGGUAACCUCCCAUCAGAGGGGAUAACACUUGGAAACAGGUGCUAAACCGAUACUGAUGGAUGGACCCGCGGUGCAUUAGCUAGUUGGUGAGGUAACGGCUCACCAAGGCCCCGAUGCAUAGCCGACCUGAUAGGGGGAUCGGACAAACUGGGACUGAGACACGGCCCAGACUCCUACGGGAGGCAGCAGUAGGGAAUCUUCGGCAAUGGACGAAAGUCGGACCGAGCAACGCCGCGUGAGUGAAGAAGGUUUUCGGAUCGUAAAACACUGUUGUUAGAGAAGCGGUAUCUAAAGAGAAAGCAACGGCUAACUACGUGCCAGCCGCCGCGGUAAGAG
rnacentral:rRNA from 1 species